AGUUAGCCUUUAAGAUGAAGCAGAACACACGUUCUGUUUCCUUUUUUAAAUUUAAAUUUAAAAAAUGUUGUUGAACCUUUUUUGAAAUUUUAAUUAUUUAUUGCGAUCUUUUUUAUGUCAAAUAUGUUAUUAUAAAAAAGGAUAACAUCAGCGCUACAGAUUGAUGAUUUUUCCUGGUGAGGAGAGCAAUUGACUCUCGAAACGUCGACAAAUUUUUAAUAAUGGAAUAAAGGAUCUUCUCAACAUCAACAUCAUGGUCUUUUACUUGGUCUGAAACCCCUGUAUGCCUACAUGGAUAUAAUCCCAAUUCGAUUUGGCUAUCCGUCCUUCCGGUUCAACCAGUCCCCACUAUGGGGCGCUCCGGCCAAUCACAAGCAUCGUAGAGACUAUUACAUAAGGACAACAUAACCUGAUACCUCAGCUUCAGAUCAGCCCUGAAAAAGAGAAACUGCAAUGUUCACGAAACAUCGGAAAAAUUCGUAGUUUUUCACACGCUUGUAACCCGAAAUACCUCUUUUCAUCAAAAUUUUCACAUCUCUUCAUUCCUCUGAUUUUUUAGAUGUUUGAAAAUCUUUAAGCAUGCACGCAUUUCUAGAAUCAAGCCAACUAUUCAACAUUCACUGGCUAAUUGUGUCGAACGACUAGAAACAUGUGCAGUAACUUGAGAAAAAUAUGCUAGCAGAAAACCAGUGGAAUUGAUAAAUCACAGGGCAGCCAGGACUUA